AUAUUGGACAAUGGGCGCAAGCCUGAUCCAGCCAUGCCGCGUGUGUGAAGAAGGCCUUCGGGUUGUAAAGCACUUUUGUUGGGGAAGAAAAGCUUGAGGUUAAUACCCUUGAGUUCUGACGGUACCCAAAGAAUAAGCACCGGCUAACUUCGUGCCAGCAGCCGCGGUAAUACGAAGGGUGCAAGCGUUACUCGGAAUUACUGGGCGUAAAGCGUGCGUAGGUGGUUCGUUAAGGCUGUCGUGAAAGCCCCGGGCUCAACCUGGGAAUGGCGAUGGAUACUGGCGGGCUAGAGUGCGGUAGAGGAGAGUGGAAUUCCCGGUGUAGCAGUGAAAUGCGUAGAGAUCGGGAGGAACAUCAGUUGCGAAGGCGGCUCUCUGGACCAGCACUGACACUGAGGCACGAAAGCGUGGGGAGCAAACAGG
rnacentral:rRNA from 1 species